rnacentral:lncRNA from 10 species
GUUACCUCCCGCGCAUGCUCUAUGGGGUAGAGACGCUAGGCCGGCACUGCCUAGGUGGGCCGGGCGGUGCGAGGGUCGCCUUUCAGCCUUUACCUCUACCCACUGAAAUGGAGUAGGUCGGUGAGCGCCGAUCUGCUGGAGAAUCUCAUUAUCCCAUCGGCGCUCUGCCUGCUCCUGGCCUCCAAGCCUCUGAAGCCCCUCGGGUUUCAGCUGCCGGCUACCCUCGAGCCCGUGGUGCCCACGAGAGAGGCGACUUUACGUCAGCGGCCCUGGGCUGAGAUUUGAGAACGCGACCAAGUGGAGAAUGUUGGAGCCAGAUUUUAAAAUCCUUGUCUUCCUUCUGCGUGCUACUUGAUCUAAAUGAGAUACGGCAAAGUCACAGAACCUGUUUUUAUGUUUUUGCCUGAUUCAUACGGGCUUCUCCGGUGAAGAUGGGCCUGAAGUAACGCUUGGGUUGCUUCUGACGUUAUAACUCAUCCUGUAGCUGCAGCAACCGUGGUCCUUGCAACCUCAUAAAAAUGUUGCCAGCAUUGUUUCGAUAGUGCUGCUUAAUUCUUGGAAGGCCUCUUUGCUUUCUUCCCUGAGGUUCUUCGGACUUCACACAUUCCAGCAGUAGCUCUCUCAGCUCCUGUCCUGCACAGCUUUGAAGUGCUGAAACAGAGAAGAGUAUGAGAAGUGUUACAGAACAUGAAGAUACCCUUGUGG